UUCUACUAAGUUAUAUACGUUAUACUACUAAUACGGAGUAAUACUGAAUAUUACUGAUGAGUUAGUUAUACUGAGUUCGACUAAGUUCUACUAGUUAUACUGCGUAAUACCGACUUAUACUGAAUCCAUAUCUGAAGAUAAAAUGAAUAAAAACACGUGAAUGAGAACAAUAAGAACCAUAAAUUAUUAAAAACUCAGAUCUAUAGAGAACAUGAAGAAUCCUAAUCAUAAAAAACCCUGAAUCUUCUUUUACAAUCCUAAAUCAAAAACUCAACAAUAAAAACUUAUAUCAGAGGAACAGAUCUGAAGUGCGGGAAGAAGGAGAUCUGAAGUUCAUACGUUGAGCCUCGUCGUUUUGAAUGAAAUUAGAAGAAGAAGAAUCGCCAUUGAUUUUGUUUCCAUCACCUUCAACUAUUUUUUCAUCACCUACCGCAGAUCUCUUUCACUGUUUACAGAGAAAAAAGAAGAAAAUCGCGGAGAAAAUAGAAGAUAAGAGAAAGAGUCGCCGAGAAGAUAAGAGAAAAAGGAAUGGUUGUCGCAAAGAAAAAAGAAAGAAAAGGGAAAAAAAGAAAUAAGAAUAAAAAAUAGAAUCAAUUGAUAUCUAAAUAUUAAGGUUAAGGGUAUUACAGUAAUUAGCUUAAUUUUUGCAUUAAAAUAAUUCAGAAAGAAAUUGAUUUUAGAUGAGGUUAUGUAGAGAUUGUUGUUUCACAUUUGGGGGUAUGAUUCUACAAAUACUGAUGUACAAGUCUCAAUCACCCUACAACCAAAUUCAUCUUAACAACCUAUGAGUAGAUUUGGUGUUCACACAACGAUAAUAAUAUAUAUACAUAUAAUUGACUCUCAUCGUCGUAUUUGUAUAAAUUGGUGUGGAUCUGUGGUGUUAUUGUUGGAAAAUGGAAAAGGUAUUGGUUUGG
rnacentral:lncRNA from 1 species